GUCUAUAUGAACCAGUAAGUUUCUUAUGUAUUAGUGAGUUUCCUGAGUAAUAUAUUAUUUGAGUUUUUUCUAUUAUGAAUUGCUUGCUUACAUUGUAUAGGGCCCUUCGUAUUUCUAUCUAAACCUUAUUCUCUGUAACACUCAAAAGGUGUACCAUUAAAAGAUCAUAUUUUGCUCAAAAAAGGAGGUCAUGUAAAAGGCAGUUGUUUGGAUCCUUUGGCUUUAGUGGCUGCUAGUCAGGAGUGAGAAAGUUCUGUUUUUUAGGUAGAAACGCAGUAGGUAAGCAUAGUGGAUUAUGUCAGUCAAUGGAGUUAUACCACCUUGGCUCUUAAAACAUUCAUCAUGUUAAAUCUGCUUCGUAUAAUCUAGAACUUUCAACUUCUAGAGAGCUGUAAGAGUAUUUUUUUAUUAUGGGUUUGUAUGAUGUUCGAUCUCUCAUCAAAUCAACGCUGAAGAAAUUCAGUCAUUUCAUAUGCCAAUUUUGUGAUGUGAAUCUUUAAUCACUUCUGUUUGAUUUCCUUGAUCAGAUAAUCAUCAAUUCAACAAAGAUGGUCAGAUUAAAAUAGGCUAGACGUGGUCUAUAAAUUGCAAUAAAUUUUAGCAGCUCAAGUCAAUAACAAAAAGUCAAUAAAUAUAUUGCUAAUCUUGACGCAGUUUGUGCUGCUCCAAUUCAGCAACAAAUUUUGAUGGAAAUUCACUCAUUUUAUUGAUCAAAAUAUCACCCAAAAUCUUUAGUAAUAUGAUCUGCAAUUUUUUCUCCAACACUUUAAUCAAAUUUGGAGAAAAAAAAUGCAGGUGUUUUUGCUGUUGUAAAACCAACAAAAAAUGUAAUCCACAUUACUGUGUAAUUGAUUCGAUUCUUUCAUCAAACUAACUUCAAAUCAUAGAUGAAUGGAUAACACAAUUUUAGAAUAGUCAUAGAUCAAUUUUGAUAAGUUUUAUGUGACGCUUCAAUUAAAAUUUAAGAAAAAAAAAAUUGUUGCUCUUGUCAUUAUAGAAAAAUAGCAAAUCCGAUCCAUAUUACUGUGUAAUUGAUUCAAUUCUUUGAUCAAACUGACUAAAUGCACUGCUAAUGUAUAUGUACAUUGCAGAUGUAACCACCAAUUUAUGACACAUUUCCAGGCCAUCUGUAUUUCUCUCUCUAGAUUUUGAUCUUCAAGGGGAAAUGUGAUGUCUUCGAUGAGAAAGGGAUGGAAAAUGUAAUUUGUGCAGUGAAUAGCUCAAUUCUGGACCUCUAUUGAUCUCUGAGUUUUCUUGACAAUGUGUUCGAUGAUCUUGAAUUCCUAAGGCAUUCAACAUUCAAGUA